AGUGAACGCUGGCGGUAUGCCUAACACAUGCAAGUCGAACGGCAGCACAGUAAGAGCUUGCUCUUACGGGUGGCGAGUGGCGGACGGGUGAGGCAUACAUCGGAAUCUACUUUUUCGUGGGGGAUAACGUAGGGAAACUUACGCUAAUACCGCAUACGACCUACGGGUGAAAGCAGGGGAUCUUCGGACCUUGCGCGAUUGAAUGAGCCGAUGUCGGAUUAGCUAGUUGGCGGGGUAAAGGCCCACCAAGGCGACGAUCCGUAGCUGGUCUGAGAGGAUGAUCAGCCACACUGGAACUGAGACACGGUCCAGACUCCUACGGGAGGUAGCAGUGGGGAAUAUUGGACAAUGGGCGCAAGCCUGAUCCAGCCAUACCGCGUGGGUGAAGAAGGCCUUCGGGUUGUAAAGCCCUUUUGUUGGGAAAGAAAAGAAGCAGGUUAAUACCCCGACGUUCUGACGGUACCCAAAGAAUAAGCACCGGCUAACUUCGUG
rnacentral:rRNA from 1 species